rnacentral:rRNA from 1 species
UGGGGAAUAUUGCACAAUGGGCGCAAGCCUGAUGCAGCCAUGCCGCGUGUAUGAAGAAGGCCUUCGGGUUGUAAAGUACUUUCAGCGGGGAGGAAGGGAGUAAAGUUAAUACCUUUGCUCAUUGACGUUACCCGCAGAAGAAGCACCGGCUAACUCCGUGCCAGCAGCCGCGGUAAUACGGAGGGUGCAAGCGUUAAUCGGAAUUACUGGGCGUAAAGCGCACGCAGGCGGUUUGUUAAGUCAGAUGUGAAAUCCUCGGGCUCAACCUGGGAACUGCAUCUGAUACUGGCAAGCUUGAGUCUCGUAGAGGGGGGUAGAAUUCCAGGUGUAGCGGUGAAAUGCGUAGAGAUCUGGAGGAAUACCGGUGGCGAAGGCGGCCCCCUGGAAGAAGACUGACGCUCAGGUGCGAAAGCGUGGGGAGCAAACAGG